rnacentral:rRNA from 1 species
UACGGAGGGUGCAAGCGUUAUCCGGAUUCACUGGGUUUAAAGGGUGCGUAGGCGGAUAAGUAAGUCAGUGGUGAAAUCUCCGAGCUUAACUCGGAAACUGCCGUUGAUACUAUUUGUCUUGAAUAUUGUGGAGGUAAGCGGAAUAUGUCAUGUAGCGGUGAAAUGCUUAGAUAUGACAUAGAACACCAAUUGCGAAGGCAGCUUACUACGCAAUCAUUGACGCUGAGGCACGAAAGCGUGGGGAUCAAACAG